rnacentral:rRNA from 1 species
CCAUGCCGUAAACGUUGGGCGCUAGGUGUGGGGAUGGGUUCCACCGUUUCCGUGCCGUAGCUAACGCAUUAAGCGCCCCGCCUGGGGAGUACGGCCGCAAGGCUAAAACUCAAAGGAAUUGACGGGGGCCCGCACAAGCGGCGGAGCAUGUGGAUUAAUUCGAUGCAACGCGAAGAACCUUACCUGGGUUUGACAUGCACUAGACAGCCGUAGAGAUACGGUUUCCCUUGUGGUUGGUGUACAGGUGGUGCAUGGCUGU